GGUGAACGCUGGCGGCGUGCCUAAUACAUGCAAGUCGAGCGAACGGACGAGAAGCUUGCUUCUCUGAUGUUAGCGGCGGACGGGUGAGUAACGCGUGGAUAACCUACCUAUAAGACUGGGAUAACUUCGGGAAACCGGAGCUAAUACCGGAUAAUAUUUUGAACCGCAUGGUUCAAAAGUGAAAGACGGUCUUGCUGUCACUUAUAGAUGGAUCCGCGCUGCAUUAGCUAGUUGGUAAGGUAACGGCUUACCAAGGCAACGAUGCAUAGCCGACCUGAGAGGGUGAUCGGCCACACUGGAACUGAGACACGGUCCAGACUCCUACGGGAGGCAGCAGUAGGGAAUCUUCCGCAAUGGGCGAAAGCCUGACGGAGCAACGCCGCGUGAGUGAUGAAGGUCUUCGGAUCGUAAAACUCUGUUAUUAGGGAAGAACAUAUGUGUAAGUAACUGUGCACAUCUUGACGGUACCUAAUCAGAAAGCCACGGCUAACUACGUGCCAGCAGCCGCGGUAAUACGUAGGUGGCAAGCGUUAUCCGGAAUUAUUGGGCGUAAAGCGCGCGUAGGCGGUUUUUUAAGUCUGAUGUGAAAGCCCACGGCUCAACCGUGGAGGGUCAUUGGAAACUGGAAAACUUGAGUGCAGAAGAGGAAAGUGGAAUUCCAUGUGUAGCGGUGAAAUGCGCAGAGAUAUGGAGGAACACCAGUGGCGAAGGCGACUUUCUGGUCUGUAACUGACGCUGAUGUGCGAAAGCGUGGGGAUCAAACAGGAUUAGAUACCCUGGUAGUCCACGCCGUAAACGAUGAGUGCUAAGUGUUAGGGGGUUUCCGCCCCUUAGUGCUGCAGCUAACGCAUUAAGCACUCCGCCUGGGGAGUACGACCGCAAGGUUGAAACUCAAAGGAAUUGACGGGGACCCGCACAAGCGGUGGAGCAUGUGGUUUAAUUCGAAGCAACGCGAAGAACCUUACCAAAUCUUGACAUCCUUUGACAACUCUAGAGAUAGAGCCUUCCCCUUCGGGGGACAAAGUGACAGGUGGUGCAUGGUUGUCGUCAGCUCGUGUCGUGAGAUGUUGGGUUAAGUCCCGCAACGAGCGCAACCCUUAAGCUUAGUUGCCAUCAUUAAGUUGGGCACUCUAAGUUGACUGCCGGUGACAAACCGGAGGAAGGUGGGGAUGACGUCAAAUCAUCAUGCCCCUUAUGAUUUGGGCUACACACGUGCUACAAUGGACAAUACAAAGGGCAGCGAAACCGCGAGGUCAAGCAAAUCCCAUAAAGUUGUUCUCAGUUCGGAUUGUAGUCUGCAACUCGACUACAUGAAGCUGGAAUCGCUAGUAAUCGUAGAUCAGCAUGCUACGGUGAAUACGUUCCCGGGUCU
rnacentral:rRNA from 1 species